AUUGAACGCUGGCGGCAUGCCUUACACACGCAAGUCGAACGGCAGCGGACCUUCGGGUGCCGGCGAGUGGCGAACGGGUGAGUAAUAUAUCGGAGCGUACCUUUCAGUGGGGGAUAACGUAGCGAAAGUUACGCUAAUACCGCAUAUUCUGUGAGCAGGAAAGCAGGGGAUCGCAAGACCUUGCGCUGAUUGAGCGGCCGAUAUCAGAUUAGCUAGUUGGUGAGGUAAAGGCUCACCAAGGCGACGAUCUGUANCGGGUCUGAGAGGAUGAUCCGCCACACUGGAACUGAGACACGGUCCAGACUCCUACGGGAGGCAGCAGUGGGGAAUUUUGGACAAUGGGCGCAAGCCUGAUCCAGCCAUGCCGCGUGAGUGAAGAAGGCCUUCGGGUUGUAAAGCUCUUUCGGCCGGGAAGAAAUCGCACAGGUUAAUACCCUGUGUGGAUGACGGUACCGGAAUAAGAAGCACCGGCUAACUACGUG
rnacentral:rRNA from 1 species